rnacentral:rRNA from 1 species
UAGGGAAUCUUCCGCAAUGGGCGAAAGCCUGCCGGAGCAACGCCGCGUGAGUGAUGAAGGUCUUCGGAUCGUAAAACUCUGUUAUUAGGGAAGAACAAAUGUGUAAGUAACUAUGCACGUCUUGACGGUACCUAAUCAGAAAGCCACGGCUAACUACGUGCCAGCAGCCGCGGUAAUACGUAGGUGGCAAGCGUUAUCCGGAAUUAUUGGGCGUAAAGCGCGCGUAGGCGGUUUUUUAAGUCUGAUGUGAAAGCCCACGGCUCAACCGUGGAGGGUCAUUGGAAACUGGAAAACUUGAGUGCAGAAGAGGAAAGUGGAAUUCCAUGUGUAGCGAUGAAAUGCGCAGAGAUAUGGAAGAACACCAGUGGCGAAGGCGACUUUCUGGUCUGUAACUGACGCUGAUGUGCGAAAGCGUGGGGAUCAAACAGG